AUUGUUCGUAUUCAUUGGAUCUAGGAUCUCUUGGAUCUAGGAAAUAUCUGCAAAAACUUAAAAGUGAAUUCGUGUUUCGAAGUCAUAACGUACAGCAGAUUUAGCAAAAGCCUCGUUCUUUCUUUAAAUUUUCACGGUCAACGAAUAGAUGAAGGACAUAUUGACAAUGAAUGAAUUAUAUGAUUAUAUGCCUUUCACUACAUCGAAUUACACGCAUCCCUUCAGCUUCGAAGAAAACUUCGAUUACAAGCAGUCACAAAUAUGGAUGAAGGACCAUUUUCCAUACUGUUUUUUGUAUUGUGCUCUUUAUGCAAUCCUAAUUUUUGGUGGGAAGCAUUACAUGUCAAAUAGACCAAAAUACAAUCUAAGGCGCGUGCUUGUAUUGUGGAAUGCAAGUCUUGCAUUGUUCUCCAUUAUUACCGUGUACAGAAUUAUGCCGAUUACAUUGCAUCUACUACAACAUCAUGGGUUUUACUACACCACCUGUGUGGCUGG